AGCAAUCUUAUCUACGCUAGACGUAACAAUUGUUAAGGAGAAAGACACUCCCAAAGAUAAGUAACCACCUGUUGAUACUGAUAAUAU
rnacentral:ncRNA from 1 species